rnacentral:rRNA from 1 species
GACGAACGCUGGCGGCGUGCUUAACACAUGCAAGUCGAACGGAAAGGCCCUGCUUUUGUGGGGUGCUCGAGUGGCGAACGGGUGAGUAACACGUGAGUAACCUGCCCUUGACUUUGGGAUAACUUCAGGAAACUGGGGCUAAUACCGGAUAGGAGCUCCUGCUGCAUGGUGGGGGUUGGAAAGUUUCGGCGGUUGGGGAUGGACUCGCGGCUUAUCAGCUUGUUGGUGGGGUAGUGGCUUACCAAGGCUUUGACGGGUAGCCGGCCUGAGAGGGUGACCGGCGACAUUGGGACUGAGAGACGGCCCAGAAUCCUACGGGAGGCAGCAGUGGGGAAUAUUGCACAAUGGGCGGAAGCCUGAUGCAGCAAAGCCGCGUGCGGGAUGACGGCCUUCGGGUUGUAAACCGCUUUCGCCUGUGACGAAGCGUGAGUGACGGUAAUGGGUAAAGAAGCACCGGCUAACUACGUG